rnacentral:rRNA from 1 species
CCUACGGGAGGCUGCAGUGGGGAAUAUUGGACAAUGGGGGGAACCCUGAUCCAGCCAUGCCGCGUGUGUGAAGAAGGCCCUCGGGGUGUAAAGCACUUUCAGUGAGGAAGAACGCCUGGUGGUUAAUACCCAUCAGGAAAGACAUCACUCACAGAAGAAGCACCGGCUAACUCCGUGCCAGCAGCCGCGGUAAUACGGAGGGUGCGAGCGUUAAUCGGAAUUACUGGGCGUAAAGCGCGCGUAGGUGGCUUGAUAAGCCGGUUGUGAAAGCCCCGGGCUCAACCUGGGAACGGCAUCCGGAACUGUCAAGCUAGAGUGCAGGAGAGGAAGGUAGAAUUCCCGGUGUAGCGGUGAAAUGCGUAGAGAUCGGGAGGAAUACCAGUGGCGAAGGCGGCCUUCUGGACUGACACUGACACUGAGGUGCGAAAGCGUGGGUAGCAAACAGGAUUAGAUACCCUUGUAGUC